rnacentral:rRNA from 1 species
AUUGAACGCUGGCGGCAGGCCUAACACAUGCAAGUCGAACGGUAACAGGAAGAAGCUUGCUUCUUUGCUGACGAGUGGCGGACGGGUGAGUAAUGUCUGGGAAACUGCCUGAUGGAGGGGGAUAACUACUGGAAACGGUAGCUAAUACCGCAUAACGUCGCAAGACCAAAGAGGGGGACCUUCGGGCCUCUUGCCAUCGGAUGUGCCCAGAUGGGAUUAGCUAGUAGGUGGGGUAGCGGCUCACCUAGGCGACGAUCCCUAGCUGGUCUGAGAGGAUGACCAGCCACACUGGAACUGAGACACGGUCCAGACUCCUACGGGAGGCAGCAGUGGGGAAUAUUGCACAAUGGGCGCAAGCCUGAUGCAGCCAUGCCGCGUGUAUGAAGAAGGCCUUCGGGUUGUAAAGUACUUUCAGCGGGGAGGAAGGGAGUAAAGUUAAUACCUUUGCUCAUUGACGUUACCCGCAGAAGAAGCACCGGCUAACUCCGUG